CAGAUAGACACAUACACAUACAUUUGUGGAGUUUCUGUCUCUUCCCAUACAAUACCCUAGAUCACCUCCAGAUUUUAGCAACAAUAAGGCCACUACUAGAUGUGCCACCUCAACCAUGUACCUCCAGAAAUGUGAGCCAAAAUGAAACACUUCUCAUUAUAAAGUAGCCUACCUCAGUUUUUUCAUUGUAGUAAGGAAAAAUGAUGCGUUUUGACAAAUGUGUACUCUCUUAUAACCCACACCUCCAACAAUAUUUAGAACAUUUUUAACUCUAAAAAAUUCCCUUAUUCCUCUUCCUAAUUAUCACCCCUUCCAGAAGCAAAUGCUCUUCUGGUUUUUGUUUUUCAUGUUACAUUUGUUUUUCUACCCAAGAUUUUUAAUAUAGUUUUUUGAAAUCUAGUCAGGAAAUUCAUAUAUAAAAAUCAUGGAAUGUGUUUAUUGUGUCUAGCUUUUUCACUCAGCAUAAUGAUAGUAUCUAUCAGAUUUAUCCAUGUUUGGGGAUAUAUGCACAUUUCUUUUUCUUGUGGAUAGUUUUUCAUUGUUUGAAGAUAUUACACUUGGCUUAUCCAUUCUUUUUAGAAUAUCUGUAGUUUUAGCUUUUAUAUUUAUGUCCAUGAUUUACUUUGAUGUAGAGGUUAUGUUUCUGUUACCUGAAUGUUCCCCAAAGCCUCUUGUGUUCAUAGGUGGGGCUUUUGGAAGGUGAUUGGAUUAUAGAAGCCUGAUAAUCAUCAGCAAAUUACUCUGUCAAGAUCUUAUUUCAAACUAUGCUAACUCAAUAUCAUAUGACUUUGAUCAUUGUUACGGUGUGUUCAAUUUUCUAGACAUGCCAAGUCCAUCUUAUUACCUGGGAGUAAGUUUGGAUAUUGUCCUCUUUAUUUUUCACUAUUCCGUCUCACAGGAAUUUUAGUUGUUACUACAAUAAAUCUAUAAGCAUAGGGGACAUGUCCUGAGAAACAUGUCAGGCAAUUUUAUCAGUGUGCAAACAGCAAUAGAGUGGGUAUACUUACACAAAUUAAGAUAGUUACAAUGAAGGUGGAUGAUAUAAUCUUAUGGGGGCAAUAUCUUAAAUGUGCCCUACCAUUGAUCAAAACCUUAUGUGGCUCAUGAGUGUACUAAAACUUCUAAAAAUUGC
rnacentral:lncRNA from 1 species